GAAAGAGCUGUUUGAAAACGGGAUGCAAUCAUUAAGGAUGAAUUAUUAUCCUCCUUGUCCGCAACCAGAGCAAGUUCUCGGCUUUAAGCCUCAUUCUGAUGGCUCCGUACUCACCAUCCUCCUCCAAAUCAAUGAGAUGGAUGGUCUCCAAAUUAAGAAAGAUGGAAAAUGGUUUGCUGUUAAGCCCCUUCCUGAUGCCUUUAUAGUCAACGUUGGUGACGUUUUAGAGGUAACACUUGUCUUUCUCUACAGCCUAUGAUAAGUAACGCUAUGUCUCUACAUAGUUUGUAUCUCUAGUAAGAGCAGUGCUAGGUGAAGAAGGAGAGAAAGAUGAGAGAAUUUUGUCCUCUCUCUCUACCCACUCACUCUCUCUCUACCAUUUUCUUCUUUAUUUCUCUCGUCUUUCUCUCGUGCUUCUCUUCACCAAGUAUUUUCCCUCUAAUAAUGUUACGUGACAUCUGACGUGUCUUUUAUUAGUAAGUAGAGUAGAAUUAUUGUAUAAUUUGUAUUAAUAAUAGAAAACUGGUCUCCAAAUUAAGAAAGAUGGAAAAUGGUUUGCUGUUAAACCCCUUCCUGAUGCCUUAAUAGUCAACGUUGGUGACGUUUUAGAGGUUAACACUUGUCUUUCUCUACGGCCUAUGAUAAGUAAGGCUAUGUCUCUCCGUAGUUUGUAUCUCUAGUAAGAGCAGUGGUAGGUGUAGAGAAGCACGAGAGAAAGAAGAGAGAAUUUUGUCCUCUCUCUCUCUACCCACUCACUUUCUCUCUACCAUUUUAUUCUUUAUUUCUCUCGUUUUUCUCUCGUGUUUUUCUUCACCAAGCAUUUUUCCCUCUAAUAAUGUUACGUGACAUCUGACGUGUCUUUUAUUAGUAAGUAGAGUAGAAUUAUUGUAUAAUUUGUAUUAAUAAUAGAAAAUAAAGUCAACUAAAUGCGAAUCUAGAAAUAAUUGGUGACGCGUCGCUUGCAAUAAAAACUAAGUUAAUUGUUAGCAUAGGAUAUAUAGUUGAUGACUAGUUUCAUCUAAUUUCUUCCUCUUCUUGAUUAUACUCGUUAAUUUUUUUUUUUUUUUGGUUCAAUUUAUGAUCCUGCAGAUUUUUAGCAAUGGAACUUAUCGUAAUAUUGAACAUCGUGCACUGUAAACUCAAUGAAGGAAAGGUUAUCUUUUGGUACAUUUUACAGUCCAAAAUCAGAUGGAGAAUUGGGUCCAGCACUGAGUCUUAUUACUCCAAAGACUCCAGCAUUAUUUAAGAGGAUAAGUGUGGUAGAUCACUUGAAAAGAUUCUUUUCAAGCGAGCUGCGUGGAAAGUCAUUUAUUGAUUUCUUGAGGAUUCAAAAUUAGGCGGUUAAAAGUUGUUGAUUGUUUUGAAUUACAUGAUAAGAUUAUAUGGAGUCCAUACCAAUAAAAUGAGUGAAUUAAUUAUUAAGUUGUGAACUUUUAAUUUUAUUACACACACAUAUAUGUUUACCUUAAAUUUUAUUGAAUAUUGAUAAAUUAAAAAAUAAAGUCGUGAAACACAUACUCAGUGAUGAUCUUGCAGGAAUGAUAUUUGCAGUAUUAGAGAAUUAUUGAUGGAAUAGAAAAACAAAAGAAGAAGAAUUGGGGUAGAAAGCGUGCAUGAAGAAAUAAAUGAAUAAAAAUAAUAGUGAUCUUGAAUUUUUUAUUUUAUUUUUUAAUUAAUUAAGAAUAAUUUUGAUUUUAUGUAAGAAUAUAUUUAAAAUUGUAUUAAGUAUAACAUUUGUUCUCAAAAUUAGAUUUACCAAUACUUUUAAAAAAAUUACCAAACAAAACUUAAAUUUUGAUAUUUUAAAAUUAUUUUUAAGUCAAAAUAGUAAUCCCAAAUGAGUGCUUAUUCAAUUACUUGGAUAAAACAAAAAUGAAUUUAAAUUUAAAGGACUUAAAUUAAUAAUGCAUUUUGAAAAGCCAUGGUCCUCUUCUAAAUUUCGUGAUUUCUACCAACGAUGCGGACCGAUCAACAAUAAAAUAUCCCAAUAGUUUCGUAAGUUUUAUGAUUGGGCACGUGAACUUGAUAGGCGCAAUUGUCUAUUUUUUUUCAUUGUUUUAUAUUUGUCUAUAUCUAAUUUGCUGUUUUACGACGUAACACUCGUGGAGGAAAAAACCCAAACAAAAUCGAGUACACAAGUUUGUGUGGUCAGCCUGGUUUUAUAUUUCAAAAUGCCAAUCUAGUGGGAUUAGUACCAAUCUAAAGCUAAACCACACAAUGUGACACUACAUGGAUAAGACUAGUAUUCCACUGUGAAAUCUAUAAUGGCAUUAGGAUUUGAUACAAGUGAUAGUAGGAUUAUUUUGGGUAAGACUCAUUUUCUUAGUAAAGAAUUAAAUUGGGUGAGAUGUAAGAUAUAAAUGGAGGAUUAUUUUGGUAUUUAAAAGAAUGUGCUCAGUAAAAUUAAUUUUUAAAAUUUAUUAAAUGAGAAUGAGAGUACAGAAUAAAGUGGUACUCAAAGUAAAAUUUAGAUUGCAAAUAGCCCAACAUUAAGUUGGCGAUCUUUUUUUUUUCUUUUAUCUUAAAUCUGAAAUAGGUAUGAAUGUUGCUAAAGUUUGAAAGGGUCUGAAUGCCUAUGUCAAAAUAAUAUAUUUGUUUUUUUAUUUUUUGACAUCUAGGUGUAAGUGGUAAGUUGUUUGUACUUAUUAAACUCAAAACAUUUUAAAUCUAAUAUUUUUACACUGAUGACCUUGAAAGUGUUAUAUAUACUUGAAGCUUAAACAGAUAUAUAUUUAUGGUGUUUUCUAGUACAAUAGUUUUUAUAUGUUAUAAAUAUUUACAAGGGAAGUAACUCAUAUAUAAUUUAUGAAAAAUAAUUUUGAUAACAUUAAUUUUUACAAUUUAACAUAAUAUUUAUACAUAAAAAAGCUGUUAUCUAAUUAUAUAAAAAAAACUAAAUUCAAAAUGAAUUUAUGUUAAGUACUUAAUACGAAGUAAAAUUUGAUAUCAAGAAAAUUUGUGAUAUGACAUCUAAUAGGUAAGUAGAAAAUAAAUACAUCUAAUGAGGGUAUUUGGGAGAAAAAAAGUUGAGUUUCCAUUCAAACAUUUUAUUAAUUCAGAUAAAACUGAAAUUUUACUUUUUUUUAUUCAAAUAAAAAUGUCUAAUAAUAAAACUUUCAGAUACAAAGGCAAACAAGCCAAAAUAUCAAAACAUCUUAAAUUAAGCCCAAUUAAGACUUUAGAUAUAAAAACAAAUAAACUCUAACAUUAUUUCAAUUGUCUUAAUGUUGAAUGGUGUACCCUUUAAUAAAUGGAAUGGGAUCUUCUUUUGAUCUAAACUAGGGCUGGAUAUAAAUCGAGUUUGGAUCAACCCGAUCUAAUUUUUGGAUUGAAUCGAAUUAAACCAAUUUGAAUAUAUUCAAAUCGAAUCAAAUAAAAAAUUCGGGUAAAAAAUUUAGGUCAAUUGGAUGAUUAAUCGAAUUUUACCUAAUAUAUCAUAUCAAAUUUUGCCGAUCAAAGAAAAGAAUUGUUGGAAAAAAAUUAAACUCAAACCCAGUCCAAAUAUUUAUGGUACAACAAGAAGAAAUUAAUACAAUAUCUUAGGGAUAAAUUAAAUCUUUUAGGUUUCUUACAAGGCAAACCAUUUAGCGGUGGAGAGCUGCAGAUCGGAGUGCAGCAGCAAUCGUGGUGGCGAAUGGAUCAACCAGCAGCAGCAGUCGUGGUACAUGACAGCAGAAUGCGUAGGCAAGUUACGGAUCGCAUUAGGGCUGCUUUGCUCUGCCAUGACUGCCGUCUGCCAUGCUAUGUUUGGUGAGUGCCGCCGGCUGCCACUGCGUAUGUGACUAUGUGUGGUGUGCUGCCCCUAUGUUGUGUUGUGUGUGUGAAGUGCCAUUGUGCUCUGUGUGUGAAAAGGAUACCACGAUGUUCGCUUGUUUGUACUUUGUGCUUGUAAAUUGAAAUGAUCAAUUAGGUUAGCUCAUUUUUUCUUUUUUUGGUAAGGGACCAACCCGAUUGGAUUUUCAGAGCGGAUUGGGUUUAAUCCAAUCCGAUCACGAUCUAAUCGGGUUUGUUUCUACCAACGAUUGGAUUAGGUUAAUAAUUCAAUCCAAACUGAACCCGAUGUUUUUUGGAUUAGUUGGGUCGAAUCGGAUUAUUUAUCUAGCCCUAAUCUAAACUCUACUGAAGUUUUAAAGAUUUCCAGUCAUAUAUCAUUUAGUGAUAAUGUAAGAAUAAAAUUUAACUUCUUUAUUUUUUUAAUUCAUUAUCUACUAAUCAACACCUAAAUUAUUUGCUCUACAAGUGAUCAUAUCAAGACAGAAGUCAGGAUCUUCUUGAAUUUUUAUAACAAAAUUAUUAUUUUAUUACACCUAAGUGGAUCACAGUACAUCCAAAGGACUAUUUAUAUAUGAGUUUCUUGUUAAAACACAACCCAACUAAGUCUGGAGGGGAGAGGGAGAAAAAAAAGAAAGAAAUAGCUAGAAACCAGAUAAUCCAAAUCUAUAUAAUAUGGAGGCAGAAUCGACAGCUAUUGGGAGUUCUCUCGUGGAGCCUUCGAUUCUGGAGCUGGCAAAUAAUAAGCCACUGAUCACAGUUCCUCCACGUUAUGUUCGCCCUGAGAUAGACCAUCCCCUGAUUCGCAACGACGAUUCUUCAGCACAACAAUUUCCAGUCAUUGACAUGCACAAGUUGCUCUCUGGAGAUGACUCAGAGCUUGAGAAGCUUGACCGUGCAUGCAAAGAGUGGGGUUUCUUUCAGGUAAAUAAUAAUUUAGCAGUGAAAUUCAGAUAAUCAUAAUUAGACAAAACGUUGACAAAAAAGAAAGUAAAUCAGUACCGGAUUAGUCACUUGAUUGUAAACACUGUAAACAGACGCUAACUUAUCAUUGUUUUUGUUAGCAUUUUAUCAGCUCUCCGUUUCUUUAGCUUUUUCCAUAAAAAUCAUUUUGUUUCCUGAACUUCAAAAUUUCCUUUAUGAACCAUGUGUAUAUGGAAAGGACAUUUUCCUUUAAUUUGCAUAUAUGCAGUUGAUGAAUCAUGGAAUGAGCAGUUCAUUGGUGGAGAAAGUGAGAGUAGAGAUUCAAGACUUCUUUAAUCUUCCAAUUGAUGAGAAAACGAAGUUUUGGCAACAACCAGGAGAUAUUGAGGGAUUUGGGCAGCUCUUUAUUGCGUCUGAAGAGCAGAAACUUGAUUGGGCAUAUGGCUUUACUUUGAUCUCUUUCCCAACUCAUCUGAGGAAAUCCCACUUGUUCCCCAAGUUGCCUCUUCCAUUCAGGUUCUAUAGUUGAAGCGUAUCGUUUUGCUAUAUGGUAUAUUCUAUCUUAUGAUAAUUACUGGACUAUAUAUCGUUAUUUGCAUGCAGAGAUGACUUGGAAGUUUACUCGACAGAACUUAAAAAUCUUGCCCUGAAAAUCCUUGACCAAAUGGCCAAAGCUCUACGAAUGGAUCCCAAUGAUAUGAAAGAGUUGUUUGGAAACGGAAGGCAGUCAUUAAGGAUGAAUUAUUAUCCUCCUUGUCCGAAACCAGAGCAAGUUCUUGGCUUUAAGCCUCAUUCUGAUGGCGCCGCACUCACCAUCCUCCUCCAAAUCAAUGAGAUGGAUGGUCUCCAAAUUAAGAAAGAUGGAAAAUGGGUUGCAGUUAAACCCCUUCCUGAUGCCUUUAUAGUCAAUAUUGGUG
rnacentral:lncRNA from 1 species